rnacentral:rRNA from 1 species
AUGCCUCCUCCGACUGAAGCCUCCCGCCGCUUCCUCCAUGGGUAUAUUACUUCGCUCUUGUGCAUUAAUCAACACUCUUCGGGAGACCAUGUGAAAGGGAAGAUGGUGGUGGUUGCUUCACCACCAGCAGCUCCGGUCAUCUCUAGCCCCAAGAUGCAGCCAAGAUGGCAGCUUUAUUAUUCCUACGGGUGCGGCUGGAGGAGAGAACUCCGUGCAUGUGAGAGUGCCUUGGAGGCGGAGCUAGCAGCAUGUCGAGAAGGACUGGAGUUGGCCUUGCACCGAACAGAACGUCCAAUUAUAGUUGAGCUAGACAGUGCGGAGGCGGUGACGUUGCUCACAUCGCGCACGAGAGAUAGAUCGAGGCACCACUUUCUCAUAGAGGAGAUCCGAAGCUUAGCUGAUACCGAUGAUAGAGAGAUUUUUAUUUGCUCGCUGUAG